GUGCCAGCAGCCGCGGUAAGACAGAGGCCUCGAGCGUUAGGCGGAAUCACUGGGCUUAAAGCGCGUGUAGGCGGAUCGUUAAGUGUCUUGUGAAAUCCCACGGCUCAACCGUGGAACUGCUGGGCAUACUGGCGAUCUUGGGCCAUUCAGGGGUUGCCGGAACAAGCGGUGGAGCGGUGGAAUGCGUAGAUAUCGCUUGGAACGCCAAAGGUGAAGACAGGCAACUGGGGAUGUGCCGACGCUGAGACGCGAAAGCCAGGGGAGCAAACGGGAUUGGAUACCCGCGUAGUCC
rnacentral:rRNA from 1 species